rnacentral:rRNA from 1 species
CAUNCUAGNUCGCGCGCNUCCAACCACGAGGACGAGCGGCAUACCGCUCAGUAACACGUAGCUAACCUACCCUCGGGUCGAGGAUACCCCCGGGAAACUGGGGCUAAUCCACGAUAGGUGUGGAGGCCUGGAAUGGUUCCACGCUCAAAUGGACGGCAGUCACGUUUGUCGUCUGCCCGAGGAUGGGGCUGCGGCCGAUCAGGCAGUUGGUGAGGUAAUAGCUCACCAAACCUUUGACCGGUACGNGCCAUGAAAGUGGUAGCCCGGAGAUGGGCACUGAGACAGGGGCCCAGGCCCUACGGGGCGCAGNNGGCGCGAAAACUCCACAAUGUACGGAAGUACGAUGGGGUUAUCUCGAGUGCAGUCCGAUAAGGUUUGCUUUUUCCAUAGAGUAAUAUCCCGGGNGAAUAAGCGGGGGGGCAAA